CCAAUAGCGUAUAUUAAAGUUGUUGCAGUUAAAAAGCUCGUAGUUGAAUUUCGGGGUUAGUAGGUUGGUCAUGCCUCUGGUAUGUACUGGUCUCACUGAUUCCUCCUUCCUGAUGAACCGUAAUGCCAUUAAUUUGGUGUUGCAGGGAAUCUGGACUGUUACUUUGAAAAAAUUAGAGUGUUUAAAGCAGGCUAACGCUUGAAUACAUUAGCAUGGAAUAAUGAAAUAGGACGUUCGAUCCUAUUUUGUUGGUUUCUAGGAUUGACGUAAUGAUUAAUAGGGAUAGUUGGGGGCAUUAGUAUUCAAUUGUCAGAGGUGAAAUUCUUGGAUUUAUUGAAGACUAACUACUGCGAAAGCAUUUGCCAAGGAUGUUUUCAUUAAUCAAGAACGAAAGUUAGGGGAUCGAAGACGAUCAGAUACCGUCGUAGUCUUAACCAUAAACUAUGCCGACUAGGGAUCGGAUGAUGUUAAUUUUUUAAUGACUCAUUCGGCGCCUUACG
rnacentral:rRNA from 1 species